rnacentral:tRNA from 1 species
UGGGGAUUAGCUCAGCGGCAUAGCACUUGCCUUGCAAGCAGGCGGACGUGAGUUCAAUCCCCAG